rnacentral:rRNA from 1 species
AUUGAACGCUGGCGGCAUGCUUUACACAUGCAAGUCGAACGGCAGCGCGGGCUUCGGCCUGGCGGCGAGUGGCGAACGGGUGAGUAAUACAUCGGAACGUGCCCAGUAGUGGGGGAUAGCUCGGCGAAAGCCGGAUUAAUACCGCAUACGACCUGAGGGUGAAAGCGGGGGAUCUUCGGACCUCGCGCUAUUGGAGCGGCCGAUGGCAGAUUAGCUAGUUGGUGGGGUAAAGGCCUACCAAGGCGACGAUCUGUAGCUGGUCUGAGAGGACGACCAGCCACACUGGGACUGAGACACGGCCCAGACUCCUACGGGAGGCAGCAGUGGGGAAUUUUGGACAAUGGGCGAAAGCCUGAUCCAGCAAUGCCGCGUGUGUGAUGAAGGCCUUCGGGUUGUAAAGCACUUUUGGCGGGAACGAAAAGGACUGUGCCAAUACCACGGUUCGAUGACGGUACCCGCAGAAUAAGCACCGGCUAUCUACGUG